CCUACGGGCGGCUGCAGUGGGGAAUAUUGCACAAUGGGCGCAAGCCUGAUGCAGCCAUGCCGCGUGUGUGAAGAAGGCCUUCGGGUUGUAAAGCACUUUCAGCAGGGAGGAAGGCGGUGAGGUUAAUAACCUCAUCGAUUGACGUUACCCGCAGAAGAAGCACCGGCUAACUCCGUGCCAGCAGCCGCGGUAAUACGGAGGGUGCAAGCGUUAAUCGGAAUUACUGGGCGUAAAGCGCACGCAGGCGGUCUGUCAAGUCGGAUGUGAAAUCCCCGGGCUCAACCUGGGAACUGCACUCGAAACUGGCAGGCUAGAGUCUUGUAGAGGGGGGUAGAACUCCAGGUGUAGCGGUGAAAUGCGUAGAGAUCUGGAGGAAUACCGGUGGCGAAGGCGGCCCCCUGGACAAAGACUGACGCUCAGGUGCGAAAGCGUGGGGAGCAAACAGGAUUAGAUACCCGUGUAGUC
rnacentral:rRNA from 1 species